UACGUAGGGUGCAAGCGUUAAUCGGAAUUACUGGGCGUAAAGCGUGCGCAGGCGGUUAUGUAAGACAGAUGUGAAAUGCCCGGGCUUAACCUGGGAACUGCAUUUGUGACUGGCAUGGCUAGAGUUUGGCAGAGGGGGGUAGAAUUCCACGUGUAGCAGUGAAAUGCGUAGAUAUGUGGAGGAACACCGGAUGGCGAAGGCAGCCCCCUGGGUCAAGAUUGACGCUACAUGCACGAAAGGCGUGGGGAGCAAACAGG
rnacentral:rRNA from 1 species